rnacentral:rRNA from 1 species
AUGCGUCGGGGGUUCGACGGGAAGGCUCCGGCCACCGGUGGCUGCGGAGCCGACCGCCUAGGCGCGCUGCCGGACGAGAUCCUCCAGCAUGCGUUGUCGUUCCUGCCGUCGCGCGAGGCCGUGCGCACCUGCCUGCUCGCCCGCCGCUGGCGCCACCAGUGGAAGUCCGUCCCGGCCCUGCGGGUCGCCGACGUCGAUGCCUUCAAAUUUGCCCAGCGCCUCAACGAGUUCGUCAACCACCUCAUCGUCCUCCGUGACCGGACGCCACUCCACGCGUGCGAGAUCGCCGCCUACAAGGAGUACAAGGGGCGGUACUAUGACGACGAGGAGCCCUCCCGGUACACCGACCUGUGGAUCCGGUACGCCAUGUCGUGCAACGUUCGGCUGCUUCGACUCAGCAACCAUGACCCCGCUGAUCUAGAUGCUCAAUAUGAGAAUAUAGAGGAUGUUCUGCUUCACGCUCACAUUGCCUCCCACCAUCUGACGACACUGGAGCUUGAGGGCGUGAUGUUCUCGUGCCAAUACCCUCUGGAUUUAUCGAGCUGCCCCAACCUGGACAUCAUCAAGAUGAACCGAUGCUCCUCACUAAUUCACGUCAAUAUAUGGUCACGAUCUGUGCGGUGUCUUUGUAUCACGCACUACGAUUUUUAUAGCUAUGAAGAGAAACCUCGUGCUGUCGUUUAUGUCCCAAGCCUCGUCUACUUAGAGAUGACCGGCGGCCGUGGCCUGGUUCCUGCGUUUGAGAGCAUGCCCUUGUUGCAAACAGCAUCUAUCAAGUUUGGCUGGACUUCCACUAGGGACGACAACAAUGAUGGUUUCUUGCUUCUUGGACGCCUGUCAGAUGCCACUAAUCUAGAACUCAUAUCCGAGCCUCAAGCGCUUUCUUUCAGGAAAGAUUUAAUGCGGUGCACUGCAUUUAGCAAGCUCAAAACCUUGUCACUCAAUGAUUGGUGUGUAGAGCCUGAUUUUGGUCCACUACUCCACUUUCUCCAGAGGUCACCAAGUCUCGAGAAGCUCUGCCUCCAACUAUCUAAGCCAGAUGAACAUGCUAAAGAAACAGAUGCAAGCUAUGUUUCAACUGAACCAUUUUUGGCAUCGAAGCAUCUUAGGGUUGUCAAGAUCAGAUGUCAUGAAAAUGAUGAACGAGUUCCCAAAAUUUUGAACGUCAUGAGUUCAUAUGGAGUACCUCCUGAGCAAAUCAACGUCAAGGAAGGCAAUUGGUCAUCCGAGGGAUCAUAUUCAGAUUCCGAGCAGUCAGACUAUUCUUAUUCAGAUACGGAUCAGUCGGAUUAA